GCUGGGACUCCCGGGUGCCUACCCUUGUGGAUUCUUUUUUUAAAUAUUAAAACGCGCUCACUAAACAUAAAAAAGAAAGUGCAUAGUGGAAAGAAGAAAAUCAAAAGCAGCAUCAAAAUAUGAUCGUGAAAACUGCUGUGUUUACUAUUUGUUCCCGUUUUCCCGCCUCCUUGAAUAGUUUACGCCCAGCUUUCCAUUGGACACAGCGAGCUGAGCAUUAGAGAGGCGGUGCGCACCCGGGCACCCGAGAACGCCCCGCCACGCUCCUUCCCUGGGAGCCACAUUCAGCAUCUCAGGAGCCAGCUGUGGCGGCAUUAACUAUUUGGCUGGGCUCACUGGACCAAAUGCUUCCAUCAUUGUUGCCCUCGGCUGCACUGUCGAUACCCCCUCAGCGCAGCUCCAGAAGGUCUCUUCUAGGGGCCUUCCAGGGGCAGCGAUGGUGUAGAAAAAGAACAGCUUCACCGUAAGCUUGAGAAAACGCUAACUCUUCCCAUCAAAGACUGGAGGUGGCUGGGAGGCUGGGAGGAGCAGAGAAGUGAAGUCCCCCAAGCUACCCUUUGACACCAACCGUGUUUUCCCCACUUAUAAAAGCCGGUCCGUGUGUGUUUAAUUCACCUUUGUGUCCCCAGCACCUGGCUCAGUGCCUAAAAGAAUGAACGUGAACAGCCUAUCACAUGACAUCAAUCAUCAGUUAGACAUUGAAAAACAUCCUAGUUGUUUGAGUUUUCUGGUUGUUUGAAUUUGCCCUGGGAAUUAGAUUUUAAAGCAAUUUACCUAGCCCGGCCGGCGUGGCUCAGUGGUUGAGUGUCAACCUAUGAACCAGGAGGUCAUGGGUU